rnacentral:rRNA from 1 species
GAGCCUACGGGAGGCAGCAGUGAGGAAUAUUGGUCAAUGGCCGAGAGGCUGAACCAGCCAAGUCGCGUGAGGGAAGACGGCCCUACGGGUUGUAAACCUCUUUUGUCGGGGAGCAAAGCGAACCACGUGUGGUUCAUUGAGAGUACCCGAAGAAAAAGCAUCGGCUAACUCCGUGCCAGCAGCCGCGGUAAUACGGAGGAUGCGAGCGUUAUCCGGAUUUAUUGGGUUUAAAGGGUGCGCAGGCGGAGGUGCAAGUCAGCGGUCAAAGCCCGGGGCUCAACCCCGGCCCGCCGGUGAAACGGGCA